UACGUAGGGGGCAAGCGUUGUCCGGAUUUAUUGGGCGUAAAGAGCGUGUAGGCGGUUUGGUAGGUCCGCUGUGAAAACUCGAGCUCAACCUCGAGACGCCGGUGGAAACCAUCAGACUAGAGUCCGGAAGAGGAGAGUGGAAUUCCUGGUGUAGCGGUGAAAUGCGCAGAUAUCAGGAAGAACACCCGUGGCUAAGGCGGCUCUCUAGUACGGUACUGACGCUGAGACGCGAAAGCGUGGGUAGCAAACAGG
rnacentral:rRNA from 1 species